UGCUGCCAUCAUCUGAUCCUUAAGAAAAGAAGGAGCGGACAUUAGCAUGUGCAAAGCAUCAGUGAUUUGUGUGGGAAUCACAGCAGUUUUCAGAAGAAUCUCACUUCAGUGCUGUGAAUGCAAAAGGUUGUGUGCAGUUGUGGGAGCAGAGCUGUGGACGUCACAGGAGAAGCCCAGAAGCCCAGACGGGUAUCAGCUUUAGCGUGAGAGAACAGCCCGACCUUUCAGCUCAGAGAGUCCCGGACACAUACAGCGUGAGGUAUAGGGUUCUGGAGAGAGCCUAUAGAUACCUACAGUGUCUCUUUACAGUCAGUCAACUUCUCAAGUUGAUUUCAGGCCAUGACGCUGCGUACAACACUUUACAAGUAAAUGUUUCUUACUCUUUCUUGGAGAAAGUGGAAAUCAUUAUGAAGGAAUUUUGGUGAAAGAAUCUGUUAUACAACAGAGAUUCUUCUACUU